rnacentral:ncRNA from 1 species
GGUCGGUCUAACCGCCGGCCGGAUCUUUCGCUCGGUUAGCGGACGUCGCGACCCGUUGGGCGCCGGCCGAAUGGCCCGGGUGACGUUCGUCGCGUCGGUCGCGUUUCGGCGUGACCGUUCGCGCCGAGCCCCGGUGCUCAUGGUCGGCUCGCCCGACGGCAAGAACCGUCGACGCGGCCCCGUCGCAGGCGGGGUCCCGUCGGUCGGCGACGUGUUUCCAGCUACUUUCCGACCCGUCUUGAAACACGGACCAAGGAGUCUAACGUGUGCGCGAGUCAACGGUGAUCUUACCAAAAACCACGUUUGGCGCAAUGAAAGUGAACCGUUUACGGUGCGGACGAUGGCCUAACGACCGAACCCACCGGCGUUCCCAGUCGCGCUGGUCCGCAGUCCGGGGGCGUCUCCGCCAAGUCGGCUUCUGCCGGCUGGGGGCGCACCCUUAGCGCACACUGUUGGUACCCGAAAGAUGGUGAACUAUGCCUGGCCGGGAUGAAAUCUGUGGGAAACCCUGAUGGAGGUCCGCAGCGAUUCUGACGUGCCAAUCGAUCGUCUGAUCUUGGGUAU